CAUUUAUGGGUUGGCAGUGGGGGUAAAGGUACUUUGCUGGAGUUUUCUGUGUAUUUGAGGCUUUCUGAAGGUAAAGAGUUCCCUCAUCUUGUUACAUGAGAAACUGCUGGUUAAUCUGAGCAAGCUGGAGAUGAAAGCAAAGCGUUAAAUUACCGAGGAACUGACUGACAGAGAGAUGGCAAUAGAUUAGAGGAAGUUACUCAAAGGUUUGAUCCCAUAUUGGAACUUCUAUUGGCCCUGCUGUGCAAACCUUGCCUUGCUGUGUAAGUAGGCAGAACACGCAG